GACUGGUCCGAAGGUAGUGAGUUAUCUCAUUAGAUUGUUCACAGUCAGUUACAGAUUGAACUCCUUGUUCUACUACUUUCCUCCCUCCUCACUACUGCACUUGACUAGUCUUAA
rnacentral:Y_RNA from 1 species